rnacentral:rRNA from 1 species
GUGCCAGCAGCCGCGGUAAGACGUAGGGGACGAGCGUUGUCCGGAUUUAUUGGGCGUAAAGCGCGCGCAGGCGGCCACGUAAGUCGGAUGUGAAAUCCCGGGGCUCAACCCCGGAACUGCAUUCGAUACUGCGUGGCUCGAGGUAGGUAGGGGAGAUCGGAAUUCCUGGUGUAGCGGUGGAAUGCGCAGAUAUCAGGAGGAACACCGGUGGCGAAGGCGGAUCUCUGGGCCUUACCUGACGCUCAGGCGCGAAAGCUAGGGGAGCGAACAGGAUUAGAUACCCGCGUAGUCC